AAAUGCUUGCCGCCGGGUAAGAGCAGGAGCGUUGAUUUCGCAUCGUUAGGCCGUUGAAGAUGCGAAGGUCAAUGCUUUUCUUUUG
rnacentral:ncRNA from 1 species